rnacentral:misc_RNA from 1 species
GAUGAAGAACGCAGCGAAAUGCGAUAAGUAAUGUGAAUUGCAGAAUUCAGUGAAUCAUCGAAUCUUUGAACGCACCUUGCACCCUUUGGUAUUCCGAAGGGUAUGCUCGUUUGAGUGUCAUUGUACUCUCACACUUCUAAUUCCUUUCGGGAUUGGGAGCGGUGGACUUGGGUGUUGCUGCUUUAGUUGUGGCUCACCUCAAAUAAGUUAGUGCAACUCUUGGUUGGACAUAGUACGGCGUGAUAAGUGUCUUCGCCGGCGCCUCUGUAAGGAGGGUGGCCGAUCGGGAGCUCUGUGCUUCAAACUGUCUUCGGACAACAUCUGACAACUUGACCUCAAAUCGAGUAGGACUACCCGCUGAACUUAAGCAUAUCAAUAAGCGGAGGA